ACGCGCAGCGAAAGGUGCUUGCACCUUUCAAGCGAGUGGCGAACGGGUGAGUAACACGUGGAUAACCUGCCUCAAGGCUGGGGAUAACAUUUGGAAACAGAUGCUAAUACCGAAUAAAACUUAGUAUCGCAUGAUACAAAGUUGAAAGGCGCUACGGCGUCACCUAGAGAUGGGUCCGCGGUGCAUUAGUUAGUUGGUGGGGUAAAGGCCUACCAAGACAAUGAUGCAUAGCCGAGUUGAGAGACUGAUCGGCCACAUUGGGACUGAGACACGGCCCAAACUCCUACGGGAGGCUGCAGUAGGGAAUCUUCCACAAUGGGCGAAAGCCUGAUGGAGCAACGCCGCGUGUGUGAUGAAGGCUUUAGGGUCGUAAAGCACUGUUGUAUGGGAAGAAAUGCUAGAAUAGGGAAUGAUUCUAGUUCGACGGUACCAUACCAGAAAGGGACGGCUAAAUACGUGCCAGCAGCCGCGGUAAUACGUAUGUCCCGAGCGUUAUCCGGAUUUAUUGGGCGUAAAGCGAGCGCAGACGGUUGAUUAAGUCUGAUGUGAAAGCCCGGAGCUCAACUCCGGAAUGGCAUUGGAAACUGGUUAACUUGAGUGUUGUAGAGGUAAGUGGAACUCCAUGUGUAGCGGUGGAAUGCGUAGAUAUAUGGAAGAACACCAGUGGCGAAGGCGGCUUACUGGACAACAACUGACGUUGAGGCUCGAAAGUGUGGGUAGCAAACAGGAUUAGAUACCCUGGUAGUCCACACCGUAAACGAUGAAUACUAGGUGUUAGGAGGUUUCCGCCUCUUAGUGCCGAAGCUAACGCAUUAAGUAUUCCGCCUGGGGAGUACGACCGCAAGGUUGAAACUCAAA
rnacentral:rRNA from 1 species